AACGUAGGAGCCUAGCGUUAUCCGAAUUUACUGGGCGUAAAGAGCGCGCAGGCGGUCGUUCAAGUCGCGUGUGAAAGCCCCCGGCUCAACUGGGGAGGGUCACGCGAUACUGAUCGACUCGAAGGCAGGAGAGGGUAGUGGAAUUCCCGGUGUAGUGGUGAAAUGCGUAGAUAUCGGGAGGAACACCAGUGGCGAAGGCGACUACCUGGCCUGUUCUUGACGCUGAGGCGCGAAAGCUAGGGGAGCAAACAGG
rnacentral:rRNA from 1 species